AUGGGUACACUGGAAAGAUUCAACUUACUCCAGGACCAUUUGAUUGAUGCCUCUGGCAUGUACUGUCCCAGAGGUCAUCUUGUCCUUCCCCUGCUACCAGGCAUAGUGCCAGCUCAACCCCAACCCCCUCAGAUCAAUGAUUACCUCUCUACUCAGGAAACCACCUCCUAUGGUCACUUGGCCCAGGAGUGCUGAACAGUCUCCCUGAAGUCUAUCAGUCUCUCCGGCCGUGGAAGCCAAUUGGGCCAUACAGAGAGGGGAGCAGACCUACAGGACCUCUGCCCCCUCCGUCCCUCUGUUCUGGGGAAUGGGUAGCAAAUCCAAGCAGCCCCCAAACUCAUUUGAAUAUGGUACUGGAGAGAAUGACAGAAGGGCAGCAGGUGCAGGGCCUCUCUGUCCCUUCCUGCACAUACACUGCCUGGAUAUUUUAACCGGACUAGGAACAGUCUCUGGCUGAGUGUGUGGACCCAGUGCAGGCAAUGGGAGUCCUGCUGGUCGGCUCAACUCAAGCAAGAAGCAGGGAGGUUAGACAUCAGGAAGGACUUCUUGGCUGGGAAGGACUCACGGAUCCAGAGGAUUCUGGGGCUUCCUGAGCCCCUGGGAAAUAAAGUCCUCUGAGAACUCCCUGGCAUUCCCGGGAGAACAGGUUCCUGGCUCUGGGAGGAACUGUCGCAGCUGUGUUUCUUCCUGGCCCACCGUGGACCCUUUCACGGAUCCACAGGAGAAAGGGCCGGGGGUGCUGCUUGCCUGCAUCAGCUGGGGAUGCCUCUCUACCUCCUGUGUGCUGUCCUGUCCUGGGGGUCAGGGAAUGACCCAAAUGGUAAAAGCAUCUAAACCAAACCCAGUGGGGACAGGACAAUGGAAUGCAAUGCUACUCUCCCCACCCCACUGUUCGGCCUAGAGGAACUGGGCUUCUUCAAGGGGAGAAAGAGAAGGAUAUGGGAGCACAUAGACUGGCCCCUGCAGAAGUAGAUACUUCAGAGAGACUCCAGGAAGGACUUCAUGACUGUGAGGGAAUUGACUGCAUUUCCUGCUGCAGGGAUUGUUAGGAAGACUAGGAGGGAGCAGUCCUGCCUCGUGUGGGAAAUGACCAGCACAGAGGCAGGGGGAUGAAUGAGAUGACUUCUCCAUCCGGUCCUUUCCCAUGGACCUGCUGCACCUUGCCAUUACCCACAUCCAAACACACUCUCUCAGGCUGGUAGCUGCAGAGAAGCAGCCAAAGUGCCCACUUACUCGAGUCUAUUCUUACUCCAACACGCCCCAUUUGAACAUUUAGGGAGGGUCUGGAAGGACUCCAUAGGAAAUGCCUGAAUCUUACCCGGUCAGGUAGGGGGUGGGGAAGAGCCAUGGGGGUUGCAGGGGGCUUCCUGCUACUCCACUCACUACCUUAAGGGCCUUCCCUCCCCACAUCCCCAGUUCUAGGCUCCAGGGGUCCAAGGGUUCCCUGUUUGUCCCAAUCUGCUUGCCAGGCCUUUUUACUUCGGGGGGGGUCUUGAGGAAGACAAAGGUCCCUAGACCUGGGGGGCGGUGCUCUGCUUCAAGCUCGGCAUUAGUUCCUGGCCACAGCACCUGUUAGCCACCUGUCUGCCUCUCCACCAGGUGCACCCAGACCUCCCCGCAUCUAGUCCUGGGCGCCAGGCAUCUAGACCCCAGCCCAGCCUGCGCAGAGAGGUGGAGUGAGUCCCUGAUCCACAGUGCCCUAGGCGCCCCCGCCCCCAGAGCUGGGCUCUCGCCUCUUCACCAGGAAUAGCCACUAGGCUGGGAAGAUGCCUGUCUCAGCUCUAGUUCUCCAGGCUGAGCACUACUGUGUUGUCAUUGUCCCCAAGGUGGGCAAGCACACCUGCUCUAACACACAGAGGCCCCCGCGCAAAAGCUAACACCACACACUACAGUGAAGACUCCCGAUGGCGAGGAGGACUGAGUUUGGAACACCUGAACAGGAGUGAGAGGGAGAGGCAAGGAGGUGGGGGUCCUCUUUUGGCCUCCAGGCACUCACCCUGAUCCUGAAUCUGUCUCUCUUGAGUUGCAGUGAGAGGCUGGGGAGCACCCAGAUGCUCCCCGUCUCUCCUGAAGCCCAUUAAGAAGGCAAACCCCCUCCCCAAGCCCUGGCCCAGCCCUGCUGGCCUCCACGGCUGACUUGGGCCAGGUCUCCUCUUACCUGCUCAGUGAAGCAGGUCGGCGUGGGGGCCCGGGGCUGGGGAGCCAGGAGCUCCGUCCGUCUGUCAGUCCGUCAGCCUGGCCGUCCUGGGUCUGUGCUGACAUCAGGUGAGGGGAGGCAGCUGCCGGGUGAGCCAAUAAUUAUGAUAUCAGCUUCCCCUUGCCCCGAGGGGCUGCUGCCAAAACGGGGAGAAGAGAAAGGUGACUAAGAAGCUAGUUUGCUCCUUGGCUCUUGUUUGACAGGUACCGGCUCCUGUGCCCGCCCCAGCCGCGCCCCAGCAACCCCCCUCCGCCCUCCCUUCUCCAGCGAGAGCCCGGGCCCCCUGUCCCUGCCAGCAGCAAAGCUGUGACUUGUUUGGGAGGGGGUUGUCCUGCCAUCCCCACCAGCACCCCAAAACAUGGAUGUGAGCCCCCCAUGGGUGCGGCGCAGGCCUGUUGGGACAUGCACAUGUGUCAGGAGAGCCUGGCCACCGUGUGUAUGUUCAUGGAGCCGACUGAGGUGUUCCAGGGAACAGCAUGCGGUGGUGGCCCAGGGUUCUCUGAGGCAUGGGGGGGGGGGACAGGCAGUGGUGGUGACUCCUCAAGGAGGGCCAAGCACCAAGCACCAGCACAGACUUGCUGGAAACUGUCCACAGGGUCCAGCCAUCUGUUAAACUCUUUAUGGUCCCUCUGAUACCCAGGGUGUGUGUGUGUGUGUGUGUGUGUGUGUUGCACCCGCCUGUGUAUGUGUGCCUCCCUCUGUGUGUCUGUGGGCAUGCCGCGUCUCCUUGGAACUGUCUGUUUGUCUGGGUCGGUGUGUGUCUGUAUAUACGUCUUCCCAAUGUCUGUGUGUUUGUAGAUCUGUGUCCCCGCAUCCAGGUCCGGGUCUGAGUCCUCUUGUGCUGUCUAUGUGUUGCCAACCUGCUGUCUGCAAACCUCUCUGCUCUGGGUCAGCGAUCCUUUCCUGGGGGUGUCUGAGUGGGUGGAGAUGGGGGCUCCCUGCUUCUGUGCCAGGACCCCACGGCCUCUCCUCGUGGUCUGCAGGUUGGAAACAGGAAUCUGAGAGACUGUGGUCCUGAUUCCUGGCCCCUCCGAGUCCACAUUGGAGGUUGCAGUCCCUGAGGAGUCUAGGAAUUGUCACCAGCAGUCCCUUCUGGAUUAGGCCUGGGCCCUGACUCUACUCCCUGACAGCUCUCCCUGCUGCCCCAGACCCCACCCCGCCUGCUUCUCUCUGCUUCCUUUUGCAUCUUCCUUGCCCCACCCCAGUCUCCUGUCCCCACCACUCUUUCCCUCCUCUCCUCUCCCUCCUCUUACCCAGCCUCUAAGGUCUCCUGUUUCUCUUUUUUCCUAGAGCAAGAGGCUUCAGGGACCUAGUGCUAGAACUGCUGUCUAGAAAGGCCUAGGAUUUGGCCUCUGGCCUCAGGGUGUGGGCAGGUCAGUUCCUUCCCACUUUCUGUAGCUCAUUCUAAGGACAGCGGGAAUGUCACCCGUGGCUGGAGGAUGGUAAUGGUCCUCUGGCAGAAGUAUGGAGUACACUAAGACAUUUGGAGCCUUCUUGGUUUAGGCAGAGAAUGUUCAGUGCUCAACAGCAAAGAGGAGCUGGGUGUGGUGGCUUCCAUCUGUAAUCCCAGAGGCUCAGGAGGCUGAGGUAAGAGGAUCACAAGUUCAAGGCCAGCCUCAGCAACUUAAUGAGACCCUGUCUCUAAAUAAAAAUGAGGAAGUUUUUUGGAUUCAACCCCCCAGUACUAGGGGGUGGGGGAUGGAACAGAAAAAGGAUACUAAGGCAGAUAGAUGAAGCUCUUUGCCAGCGAUGAUUAGCUAUGUCAUUUUCCAUACUUCCUACUCUGAGCCUCAGUUUCCUCAUCUGUUAACAAGGGAAUAUUAUCCAUCCAGGAUUGUUGUGAAAAUAAAAUGUGUUUAAAGUUCUAACACAAUCCUUGGUGUAUAGUAGAUGCUCAAUAAACAUGUGCCUUUUUGUCUUCACCAAGUCCUGCACUGCUGGGUGGGAGAUGAAGAUGUGUGAGCUUGCUCACUUGGUGUAAGAAUUUUUUUCUAGGGUUAGAUCAGGGACCCUUCUACCAUGCGGCCUGCGCAAUGGUUUCAUUAAUGAGGUUCUUGGCAUAAAAGUUAGCUAGAAGAGAUCGAAAUAAAACACACAGACUCAGUUACCUUAUUUCUAUUGCCAGGUCCGAGACGGCUCCCCUCUCUGGCUCCAACCUCUAACCGCCCAGCAGGGCAGCAAGGAUUACUCAGGGCUAGCAGGAGAGAGAGACAGUGAACACGCCUGGGAGUAGCCUUUUAUUGGGGAACAAGAAAUUCAGGGGAGAAUUCCAUCCAAUGAAGGUUGAGGGGGGACUGCACUCCAAGGUCAGGGUCAGUGAUUGGGCCCCCGGGGUCAGUGGUCAGUCACACCCCCACACGGACGGGUUCUCUCAUCAGGAGAGGGCCGGGAAAGUUCCGACACAGCCAGAACGCCUCAGACCCAAACCGGGAGUCGCCCAGUCACGCGUGAGAAUGGCUUCCCACAGACCCUGAUUUAAUCCAUUUCUCUGGAACUCACAUUAGCCAUCAAAGCCCUUAAGUCUAGUAAUCAAUGGAGUUUCACAGUGAAAGAGCAGCCAUGGAGAUCUUCUCUUGUGUUUGCUUAAUACUCCUGAUAUAUUCAGCACUGAUUAUUUCUAGCCAGGUAUUUCUGUAUGGGAUACUCUGGGUACAAAGAACUAAGAAAGAUAUGACUUGAAGUCCACCAGCAUUGCUAUUGAUCAAUAUUAUCCUGAAGGUUCUACUAGUACAAUAAUAAAGAAAGAGGAGGAGGAAGAGGAAAAGGAGGAGAAGGAGGAGCAGGAGAAGGAAGAGGAGGAGGAGGGAGGGGGAGGAGGCAAAAUCUUCAAGAAUUACAAAUGACAUGAUUGUUUAUUUAGGAAGUCUAAGACCAUCAACUGAAAGACUAUUAGAACUAAUGAGAGAAUUUAGUAAGGUAACAGAGUAUAUGUUUGUGUUGUGUGUAAAAAUCAAAACCAUUUCUUUCUCUCUCUCUCUUUUUUUUUUUUGGUACCAGGGAUUCAUCCCAGGAGCACUUAACCACUGAGCCCCCAUCCCCAGCAUCCCCCCCACCACUUUUUUUCCCCAGCCCUUUAAAAAAUUAUAUCUAUAUCUAUCUAUCUAUCUAUAUCUAUCUAUCUAUCUAUAUCUAUCUAUCUAUAUCUAUCUAUCUAUCUAUCUAUCUAUAUAUAUAUAUAUAUAUAGAGAGAGAGAGAGAGAGAGAGAGAGAGAGAGAGGAUCUUGCUGAGUUGUUUAGAACCUUGCUAAGUUGCUAAGGCUGACUUUGAAUUUGUCAUUCUCCUGCCUCAGCCUCCCGAGCUGCUGGGAUUACAGCCGUGUGCUACUAUGCCUGGCUCAAAACCAUUUCUAUAUAACUAAGGCAACCAAUUAGAAAAUAAGGACUAAAGAUCCAGUUCACAAAAGCAGCAACAGUACCAAAUUCCCAGGAAUAAACUUAAUAGUCAACAUAAAAUUCACAUGAAGAAAACAAUAGAAAAACAAGACCUUCUCUCAAAAACAAACAAAAACCCCAAAGGUCUGGGGGUGUAGCUCAGUAGUGGAGCAUCCCUGGGUUCAAACAAUAGAAUUACUGACAGACAUAAAUAGACAUUAAUAGAAAGACGUAUCUUAUUCCUGAGAUGGAAAGCUGAAUAUAAUAUUGUAAAGUUGUCAAUCGUUUUUUAAAUAAUCUAUAAAUGGAAUGUAAUUCAAAUAAAAAAAAAAUCUAAUGUUUUUCUCCUGCCUGGGAAUUUAACAAGUCAAUUCUGAAGUUGGAGGAAAAAAAAACUACAUGUGAAUAGCUUAGAACUUUUUGAAAAAGAAGAAAAAUAGGAGGAAUUUGCUCUGCCAGGCUUCAAAAUAUCCCAAAAAUAUUUGGCAGAAAGCUAAAUUUAUUUAGAGCAAAAUAUAACAAAGUUUAAAGAUAACAAACAAACAAAACAAAAAACACCUGGAAGAAAAUGUGGCAACAUAUAUAAGAAGCAAAGUGUUAGUAUUUAUUUUUUUAAACAAAGAAAAAGACCAUCUCUCAGAAAAAUGGGCGAAAGACAUGAAUAAGCAAUUCAUAGCCAAAUUACAAAUGGCCCCCAAACAAAUGAACUUCAUUAAAAAUCAGGGAAAUGCAGACCAAUCCAGGGGUCAAGGCCCUCAGGGAGACCCUGAUGGGAUGGAUGCACAGGAGAGACUGUGGCUGUCACCUUUCUGAAUGAGACUCUGCUUGUGAUGUGCAAGUUGAGCUUCCUUCUCCUCCCAGACAGGCCCUACCCCUGCCCCAGGAGUGGGCGUGGGCUCUGGCUCCCUCUUUCCUUUGGGAAGCGAGACUUCCUCAUUGCUGGCAGUCUGGGAGUUGAAGCAGGAGCCUCAGGAAUUCCACAGAUCUUGGACUGGAAGGGGAUUUGUGAGGUUUUCUCUUCCUCCUCUGGAUAGGACCCUCCCUCGUUCACACCAGCGCCCCCAGAGUUCUCUCCUAGGCUCAGAAAGCCUAUCUCUCCAGAAUCCACAGACAGAACCAAGGUGGGCUGUAGCUGGGGUCAGGGGAGGCUCUGUGCCUCUGGAGACUUGGAGGUCAGGACUGGGGCACCAUCUUCUGCUGAGUCCUGUCCAGGCUGGACUGCCUUGAGCCAGGAGCAGCCCUGGCUAGGGCCAACAUCUGCCAUGCUCCAGUCUGGAGCAAAACACUGGAGAUCUCAGGGAGAUCUCAGGGACCCCCACCUUCCGGGGUCCCAAUAUGAUGGAGGAGGGGUGGCCUUCUCUGCAACCCACGUCGGGAUGGGCCAUCUUCUGUCCACUUCUGCUCAUGUAGGCUGGACUUGUCUUCUCAACGUGAGUUCCCAAGACUGAGCCUGCCACUUGCGAGGCCCUCCAAGUCUCACUCCACUGGUGUGGAAGACACUAAAGAACAUUGGCAAGCUGGGCACCAUGGCGUGCGUGCCUGUAAUCCUGGAGACUCGGGAGGCCGAGCCAGGAGGAUCACAAAUUUGAGGCCAGUCUGGGCAAUUUAAUGAUACCCUACCCACCCCCACAGACUGCAAAAAAAAAAGGGUUGAGAUGUCACUCAGUGGUAGAAUGCUUGCUUAGUAUGGGCCAAGUCCUGGGUUUGAUCUCUGGUACUGCCAAAAAUCGGCACAGGAGGUAAAGUACAUGCUUAGCAUUGGUAAGGCCAUGAAUUCAAUCCCUCCCACCCCACUCCACCCCAUAAAGAACAUCUGCAGAAGAAUGGGGCCUAAGCAUAGCUGGCGUAAAAUGCUGAAGGUUGAGGACCUCACAUCAAAGGAGGCUUGAAGGGAUCAGGGUUAAGGACCGUGAGCUUCCUAGGGAGAGGGGGCAGGCAGCUCCUUGACUGUGAAGCUUCUUCUUCUUGCCAGAGAAGCUCCAGGCCAGAGCUGCGGAGGGUGUGUGGUAGGAGCUGGGCGGAGAGGUCUGAGCUGUUCUGGUUGGCUGACCCCCUGGAAGUCCAGGGAGUUUCCAAGCUUGGUGGGGGAGGGUCUGAUGGGAGGCCGCAGUUAGAGUCCUGCUGGGUGGGGAGGCUUCUCUCCCCUCCUAAUCCCUCCUGCUGUGGGAGGCUUAGUUGUGGUGGGGAGGAGCAGUGUGUGUGUGUGUGUGUGUGUGUGUGUGUGUGUGUGUGUGUUCACUUGUGCCAGUGUUUGUAAGUACAGUACACUUGUGACUAUGUGAGUACUUACAUUUUUGUUCUCUCACUCGUGUGCCACCGUGGGUGUGCAUUAAGCUGUGGAACUUACACGGUGCUGCUCCACGUGACUGUGCCAGUGAGUGCUCCAUGUGGGAAUGGAGGACAUGGCUCCGUCAGGCAGGCUGUCCUCUGGAUUCAGCUUCAUUGAUGUUCUCCAGCAACAGGGAGCUCACUACUGCACAGGUCUGCAGACCCACAGAGCCAAGAGUCCCUCCAAAUGCACAGGCUCUUCCUUGCCUCUAUGCUUUGGAAUGUGUUGAUCUGUUCUCUACUUGACUGAUUUUAGUCCUGCAAGAGUGGGCUCAGACAUUGUCUCUUUGAGAAGCAUCUUAGAGUAUCCACUACCAGAAGCACUUCAUCCUCUGUCAUGGUCUCCACCGUAUCAUCAUCCAUCAAGGAUUUGCCAAAUGCCCAUCAGUAUUCUCAGCACUUAGCACAGGCUCCAAGCAUGCAGUCGGAACAUAACAAAUGCUUCUACAAUUGUCAUGUUCCUUAAGCACUUAUCCAAGGACUGUGGAGCAUUAGGGGAAGGGCCUGGUAUGGGCAUCAGGAGACCUACUUUUCAAUCCCAGCACUGAAAAAUCUAGUGGCGACCACCCUCAAGACAGUGCUCAUCUACCAACUUAGGUAACAUCAUCCACCAAGCAAUUCCCUCAAAUAGGAGGUCAAGUGCACAGAGGGGCCUUGGGAGAAAGAGCCUUCUCAAGGGCUCUGUCAUUUUUCACAUCUGGACCCCACCAGAAGCUCCCAGGGGUACAGAUAAAGACCUGGGCAUCUCUUAUUCACUCCGCCACUUACUUGAAACCCAGGAAGAGGACCUGAAGCCAAAGCCAAGCCAGAAUCAGCAAGAUGACCAUGGUGGGGAAGGCAAAGCCGAACCAGGAGGCAAAGUUCACCACGUUAGGGUUUUGGGGGAAGAUCCUGAAGGGGACAUAGGCUGCUGUGUGACAUUGCCACAGCAACUGCCCAGCCCCAAUUGCCUCCCAGGGAGAGCUCAGGCCUCCCCUACCCCAUCCCUGUCAUGCCUCCUGCCCUCAGUCACUCACGAGGAGACCUGGCCUUGCAGCACUAGGUUGGGUGUGGUGCCAGUCAGUGUGGCGAUGCCCCCGAUGCUGGCCGAGUAGCAGACGCACAGGCUCAUGCACUGCGUGAAGCGGAUCUGUUCUUGAGUUUUCUGUACUUUUGGCUUUGAAGGAGCAGCGGCGACAGGGGUGGCCUGCCCGUUAUCUGAGGAAUAAGAGAAAGUUCAGGUUGGGACAGGCAUAGGGACAGCUUCGGGGAACAUGGUUGAGGCUCCAUGGCCCCCAGGGUACCUUGUCAGUGGACAGCCUAGACCUGGGCUGGGAGGAGGACAGAAGCUGUUCCUAGGUCUGAGUGGGCCCAGAAUUCCCUGGAGCCUCAGGCUGAGAGUACCUUUAGACACCAUCUGGUCCAUCCUCUCUUGAGAGAGGGAACUGAGGCACAGAGAAGAGAAAAGGAUUAUCCAAACAAGGCAGGGAUGGCGCCUAGGGCACUGCCUGCCCACCCAGGCUCCAGCUCUCUUCUCCUAGGGUGACCACGCCUCUUGGAUUGCCCAGGACUGACUGAGGGUAUUCCUAGCACAUGGGUCAAGACCUAUUUUAUUUUGAAAACUUCAUUGCAGUACUAAGGAUCAAACCAGGGCUUGAGCGGCUCUACCAUUUAUCUCCACCCCUAGCCCAUGGGUCUUGGGAUUGUAAAACCAGGAAAGUUCUAGGCAAUCCCGAUCAAGCUGGUCACUGUGCCUCUCAAUUCCCUCUUCUCUCCACAGAGGCUCCAAGAUGACCACCCUUGGGGAAGGAUGGCCUCUCAGAUCUUCCCCAAGAACUGAGUGGUUGGGGUAGGGCCUGCCUCUUCUCUCUCACCAAGCUUGGUCACCUCCUUCUUGGAAUUUGGUUCCUGGAGCUCGAAGGUAGGGUUGUCAGUCCCCUCCUCGAUGUCCUUGGGUGUGCCAUGCAGCUGCUCCAGGACAGCAUGCGCAAUGGGCACCAUCAUGGCCGUGGUGGCUGUGUUGCUGAUCCACAUGGACAGGAAGGCAGUGACCAGCAUGAAGCCCAGGAGUAGCCUAAGGACAAGCAGGUGGACACAUUGUCAUUCCAGCUCCCCUUCAGGGACUGGGAGCCCUGAGCUCCACCCGACCCCUAUUCUCCUGUCCUGGUUUGUGGGAACUCACAGGGCCGGCCGCACCCCGAUGAGGAGGAGCACACUGAGGGCAAUGUGUUUGUGCAGGUUCCAGUGCUCCACAGCGAUGGCCACGAACAGCCCCCCGAUGAACAGGACGUUAGUGUCCUUGAGGUACUCGAUGCAGACCUGGUGGGCAGGGAUGGGACUGAAACCACAGGUAGACCUGGGGUCUCCCACGAUGCUCCUGUGCUUUUAGGGUGCAGUCACUAACGUCCCUGCAGACUGGCUCUCCCCUGAGUUUUCGGGACUAAAUGGAAAUGGCCUUUGGAUCAUCUGCCAUUUGAUAUUAACCAGGUUCCCCUGUUCUUGCCAAAAUCACUCUUUGUCCCCUCAGGAUGACUGGGCGACAAUCUAGCCUGAUCCUGCUCAUCGUUCAAGCCACAGAUUGGGAAAUUAAAAUAAUUUUAUGCUCUUUCUAGAAAGCAGAGCAGUGGUUUUCUACAAGUGGCCAUCAGAUGAACUCACCAUCCUCACCAUCAAAUGCAACUUGCUAGAAAUGAAACCACUCUCACCUACUAAAUCAGAAACUCAGGGGCGGACCCAGCCCUCCAGGGGUUUCUGGUGCUCUUUCACGUUCAAGAACGUCUGAAUCAGGAGUAUAAAGCCCACCCUCUCUAUCUGUGGGUUCUGCACCAACCUUGAAUGGAAAACAUUAAAAAACAAAAAAACCAAACUCAUCUAUACCCCACCCCAUCAUUAUUCCCUAAACAAUACAGCAGAACAACUAUUGACAUUGAUUUAGGUAUUAUAAGUAAUCUAAAGACAAACUUAAAAUAUAAGGAGGAUGUGCAUAUGUUAUAUGCAAACGCUAUGCCAUUUUGUAUAAGGGACUGGAGCAUCCUGGGACUUGGGUAUCAUGAGGUCCUGGAGCCGAUCUCUUGUGGAUAAUGACAAACUCUUUUACGGAUUCUCAGGGCCCUUUUCCUGACCAGGCCCUCAACCUCCUUGGCAAAUCUCGUCACUCUGGCUUUUAAUGAUCUUUCCUCAUCAGCCACACACAUUUCUAGGAUGCCCUCCUUGGCCUCUCCCUAGUUCCUCUCUCACUGUUCUCUGGCCUGUCAAGCAGCGGCAUGCACACCGCCUGCAGUGAGGCUCCCUUGGUUACCAGGGCUCUCGAGAAACCCAUGCCCUCUCCCUGGGAUCCCUUCCUCCUACGGAUGGAUGGGUGGGGCUCACCUCAGAGGCAUCCAGGAUACCCAUCAUGGGGAACAGGAUGAUGGGGAAGAGGGCAGUGACGGCCAGGGGCAGAGCCUCGGUGCACCAGAAGAGCGCCAUGAGGAUGAUGGUAUAGGCGCAGUAGGCUUCCUGUGGGCGGGAGGGGAGCA